UCAGAAUGUAGUUUAAGAAAGACGUGCUGUUUGGGACAGUAAGAUGUUUAGUAACCGUUUUGAA
rnacentral:tRNA from 1 species